UAACGCGUGAGGAACCUACCUCGGAGUGGGGGAUAACAGACCGAAAGGCCUGCUAAUACCGCAUGAUGCAGUUGGACCGCAUGGUCCUGACUGCCAAAGAUUUAUCGCUCUGAGAUGGCCUCGCGUCUGAUUAGCUUGUUGGCGGGGUAACGGCCCACCAAAGCGACGAUCAGUAGCCGACCUGAGAGGGUGACCGGCCACAUUGGGACUGAGACACGGCCCAA
rnacentral:rRNA from 1 species